GACGAACGCUGGCGGCGUGCCUAACACAUGCAAGUCGUACGGGACCGGGGGCAACUCCGGUUCAGUGGCAGACGGGUGCGUAACACGUGAGGAACUUGUCCGGUGGCGGGGGAUAGCCGGCCCAACGGCCGGGUAAUACCGCAUACGCUCGUUCGGGGGCAUCCCUGGGCGAGGAAAGCAGCCGCAAGGUUGCGCCGACGGAGGGCCUCGCGACCUAUCAGCUUGUUGGCGGGGUAACGGCCCACCAAGGCGACGACGGGUAGCUGGUCUGAGAGGAUGAUCAGCCACAUUGGGACUGAGACACGGCCCAGACUCCUACGGGAGGCAGCAGUGGGGAAUAUUGCGCAAUGGCCGCAAGGCUGACGCAGCGACGCCGCGUGUGGGAUGACGGUCUUCGGAUUGUAAACCACUGUCAGGGGGAACGAAUACAGGGCUUCGAUAAGGAGACCCU
rnacentral:rRNA from 1 species